rnacentral:lncRNA from 1 species
GAAACCCUGUCUCAAAAAACAAAAAACAAAACAAAACAAAAACAAAACAAAACAAAAUACUACAAUCUAGUAAAGGGUGAGUAGAAAUUCUUAAGUUAUGGGCUAGAGAGAUGGCUCAGAGGUUAAUAGAGGUUAAUAGCACUGACUGCUCUUCCAGAGGUCUUCAAUUCCCAGGAGCCACAUGGUGGCUGUCAACCAUCUAUAAUAGGAUCUUAUGCCCUCUUCUGGCAUGUUAGGUGUACAUGCAGAUAGAUCACUUAUAUGCAUAAAUAAAAUCUUAAAAAGAAAAAUCUCCAGCUAUUUCAAGUUUAUUUCUGGCUUUCAAAAUUUUUCAGUUGUAAUUAGAUUGCAUAUUGUCAUAUUUUUAUUGAAAGCCUUAUUUUUUGUGUAUGAGUACUUUUCCUACAUGUCUGUUUGUACCCGUGUGUUCAAUGCCUGCGAAGGGCAUCAGAUCACCUUUGACUGAAGAUAGAAGGUUGCGAGCCACUAUGCAGGUUCUAGGAAUUGAACCCAAGUCCUCUGAAAAACCUGUCAGCAUUUCUAUCUGCUCUACCAUCUCUCUCUCUCCACUUUAAGGUCUUUGUUUGGUUGGAUUUUGAGAUAUGGAUGCUGUGAUGGUUGGAAUAUUCUUGGCCCAAGGAGUGGCACUAUUAGAAGGUAUGGCCUUGUUGGAGGAAAUGUGUCACUGUGGACAUGGAUUUUAAGACUGUCCUAACUGCCUGGAAGUCAGUCUUCUCCUGUCUGCCUUCAGAAUAAAAUGUAGAACUCUCAGCCCCUCCAGCACCAUGCCUGCCUGCACAUUACCAUGCUUCCCGCCAUGAUGAUAAUAGACUGAACCUCUGAACCUGUAAGCAAGCCCCAAUUAAAUGUUGUCCUUAGAGGAGUUACCUUGGUCCUGGUGUCUGUCUACAGCAGUAAAACCCUAACUGAGACAGAGACCUUGCUGUGUUAUCUAGCCUGGGCUUCCUCCCAGGCUCAAGCAGUCCUCUUGCCUUAGCUACUGGGGUAGCCGGACUACUGAUGUGCUGAGCCCUUAAGCCCUUCAACAUUUUUUAAGAACUGCAUGAAUAAUUUCUCAUGGUCGAAUAAAUCCUAGCAUAGAAUGACAAGUUAGAAAGGAGAUUCUGGAUCACAUUCCUUACCACUUACCUCCCCAGAGUGAGCACUGCCAGGUGCUUUCCCUGAGACUGCUGAUGGCCAUUUACACACUCAGUUAUCUGCCUUUGUUUUGCCAAUUUACAUAAGUGAACAGUCACCAUAUAUAUUAUAUUACAACUUGCUUCCAUAUACAGGUAUACAUUUUAAAACUAUAGGCAAUUUUUAAAACUAUAUUUUAAAAACUUUUAAAGGUUUAAAACUAUUGUAGACUACUCUUUUGUGUAGAUUUUAGGUGAUUAACUGCUUGUAUAAACCAGUGUUUUAAAAAUUAAUGUUUUACAUCAGUGCUACUGUGGUAUUUAUUAGGUGACUUUUUGCAGAAGAUGGACAGAUGUCUCUUUAGCCCAGAUAGGACACCAACAACAUGCCAAAGAACACCCAAGUCUAUCUUAGUGAACCUGUGAAUGCAUUGGGGUUACCUCUAGGAGUAUGAAUAACCAAAGAGCCCACCCCGCCUUGGGCAGUGAACCAUGCAAUGCUAAUCUCUGGGGCUCUGUACACACCUUGCAGGCAGCUUAGCUGGGCAGAGACUCCUCUGCCUCACAAUCGUUACUGCUCAUAUAACCGUGGGGAUGGGGCUUGUGAAGACCCAAGAACUUCCUAAGAACUCUCAGUCUCUUAUGCUCUGUCCAGCAAGGCACUGGGAACGGACAGCUGGGAUAUCAGGAAGUAAAUAAAGGGCGUGAGGACAUACAGAAAGCUGGGAUUGACUGGUUUGGGCUGGAGAAAGCCUAGGCAGGGUUUAUGGUGUUAGCUGCAUCAGGAGGCAGGUUUACCUGACCUCAGUAGAAGUGGUCUCUAGUGGGGAACAGUCUUCAGGCCAUCAGUAUGGAGGUGGGGCUGAGAGCUAUGUGGGACAUUUUCUGUACACACUGUUGUUAGGUCUCAGACCCAGGUCAAACAGCUGGGGUGUCUAUUUAAAAUACUCCUCUUUGAUAUUUUAAAUAGGCACAUCAGUACCAUAU